ensembl:lncRNA
GGGCGGCAGGUAGUCUAGUGGUUAGAGUGGAGGGGCGGCAGGUAGCCUAGUGGUUAGAGUGGAGCGGCGGCAGGUAGCCUAGUGGUUAGAGUGGAGGGGCGGCAUGUAGCCUAGUGGUUAGAGUGGAGGGGCGGCAGGUAGCCUAGUGGUUAGAGUGGAGGGGCGGCAGGUAGCCUAGUGGUUAGAGUGGAGGGGCGGCAGGUAGCCUAGUGGUUAGAGUGGAGGGGCGGCAGGUAGCCUAGUGGUUAGAGUGUUGGACUAGUAACCGAAAGGUUGCAAGUUCAAAUCCCGAGCUGACAAGUUACAAAUCUGUCGUUCUGCCC